ensembl:snRNA U4 U4 spliceosomal RNA
AGCUUUGCACAGUGGCAGUAUCAUAGCCAAUGAAGUUUAUCUGAGGCAUAGUAACUGUAAAUUCAAAAGUAUCUUUAAAUGCACAGAUGAACUAAGUGAGGGAAGUCCCCAGAUAGA